rnacentral:rRNA from 1 species
GAUGAACGCUGGCGGCGUGCCUAAUACAUGCAAGUCGAGCGAACAGACGAGGAGCUUGCUCCUCUGACGUUAGCGGCGGACGGGUGAGUAACACGUGGAUAACCUACCUAUAAGACUGGGAUAACUUCGGGAAACCGGAGCUAAUACCGGAUAAUAUAUUGAACCGCAUGGUUCAAUAGUGAAAGACGGUUUUGCUGUCACUUAUAGAUGGAUCCGCGCCGCAUUAGCUAGUUGGUAAGGUAACGGCUUACCAAGGCGACGAUGCGUAGCCGACCUGAGAGGGUGAUCGGCCACACUGGAACUGAGACACGGUCCAGACUCCUACGGGAGGCAGCAGUAGGGAAUCUUCCGCAAAGGGCGAAAGCCUGACGGAGCAACGCCGCGUGAGUGAUGAAGGUCUUCGGAACGUAAAACUCUGUUAUUAGGGAAGAACAAAUGUGUAAGUAACUAUGCACGUCUUGACGGUACCUAAUCAGAAAGCCACGGCUAACUACGUG